AACGGUGACGUCAUUAGUGACUUUGCCCUGUUUGUCAUAUAAACCGUUUGAGUGACCUGCAGGUCUGGACAUCCCUCAGUUCAGUUCAGUCAGAGCAGCAGAGCUAAUGUCUGAACCACAGCACUGACUUUAAUCGACAUCCAAGCUCAUACAGAUUUCUUUGGUCAGAGGAGAUUUCAUUCAUGUACCCGGACUAGCUGCCUUCCUUGACCGCUAGCUAGUUAGCUAACUAGCUAAGGACGUUAGAUUAUCUUAAAAACACAUUUAACUUAGCGAAACAGUGCGGAGGGGUUUCGUUUCCUUCUGUCGGUUAUUUUCGGUUUAUUGAACAACACCUCAGGCUGUCAGUGUGUAACAGUCGGUGUGGUUUUGGAAAGGUUCAUUAUAACUAAAACAUCAUGCCAGUGUUACAGGAUACUGUUUUCUUCACGCCUGACUCAGCGGAGGAGGAUUUAAAAAACGUACUUACGAUCGAGCCAUUUGUAAUGUAACUACUCGGCACCGCAAUGGAGGGGCUCAGCCGGGCUCCGCUUGCUGAUCACACUUUGAUGACAAGAGGAGUCGGAUUAACGGGAAUCAUGGCGGAGAGGAACCAGGACCAGCAGACCAUAAACCUAGAGACCAGCGACGGAGGGCAGCGCUCCGAAGCUCCCAACGAGCUCCAGGGAGAGGCCAGCUAGCCUUCAAAGGAUUUGCACCAGAGAGAAACUGUACAGCUGUGAUGAAUGUAGAUCACUAUCUACUCAAUCAGGCUCCUUGAGUCGCCAUCAGCAAAUCCAUAUGGAGGAAAGGUCAUCCAUCCAGGGAGACAGGCAAUACAUUUGAAACCAGUGUGAGAAAACCUUUACUCAGAAAGGUACUCUGGUGUGUCACAUGUUAGUUCAGGCUGGAGACAAACCACACUGGGGGAAAGAAUGCAAAGCGCUUUCAGGAAAAGGUUGAACUUGGUGCACUGUGAAAACCUUCAUGACAGGGAAUAAACUGACAGAUUAUGCUGCGGCUGACUGAGACACUCAAGUCCAGACUUUAGUGUAGACCUUUAGAGCUAAAAAUGUAUUGUGCAAGUAGUCUAUACAUGUUAGCAAGGCUGCUGAGAAGUAACCAUCAACAUAUGUGGGAUUGAAACUGAGCAGAUGAAAUGAAUCAGACGUGUGAAAAAUAUGUUUUGUUCUAAACCUCUGAGAUGAUAUAUUGAAUUGACAGUUUUCUGUGACUCCGAUGAACAAAUCAGUUGUUUAACAUUCAGUGCUUUUGUGUUUUUUGGAAGGGAGAUGUAGGAACUUACUGUUACAGUUUGACUUUGCAUCUGGAACUCUUUAGUUCUUGUUGAUCUUGCCAUAAAGUGUUUCACGAUUUUAAAGUGCAAAAUACAGUUCUAUAUUUUAAAGAAACCUCUGAGACGAGUUAUCAAUUUGACGUUGAUCUUUGACUCCAGUGAUCAAAUUAAUUGUUUGAUAUUUUGUAUUUUUGUUUCCUGCUCACAAAAGUUGUUAAUAAAUAUGGACAUUACUGUUCAUCUGGGCAAAUGGAAUCAAUCUGAGAGCAGGGGAGAAGGGACAGAAGCAAAAAAAAGAAUGAGAGCGAACAUCACUCAGAGAUGGAAAAAGCAGAGGUGAUAUUGAGAGGUAAGGACUGCUUAGUAGGAACUGAAAACAUUUAAAUUUAAAGCUUACAUGUAAUGUCUUCUUUUCUUAAAAUCAGAUUUUGUGUGUGUAUAUGAUGUGAAGUUAUAUUUUUUCAUAUUGUGAAUGGUCCUGCGUAACAAUCGGAGGUGUACUAACUUUGUCUUAUUUAAAGGUUGCAUAAAAAUACUGUGCAGUUCAGGG
ensembl:lncRNA